UUGAAUCUCUUCUUGCGAAAUUUCUUUCUCAAGUUCUUUUUGGUCAUUAUCACUUAAGACUGGGACAUUCAAUUUGCAUAGAAAGUUUUGGAUUUCAACUUCAUUUACUCCUUGGGACUUAUACAGCAAUUUAUAAAAAUCUAGGAAUUCUUGGUUAAUUAAUUUAGGGUGUUUAAUAGUUUUUUUGUCUGAAGAACAUAUUGUAGUUAUAGUUUUACUAAUUUCUUCUUAUUUGCCAUGCUAACACUUUUCCGAUCGUAUCCCCAUGUUCAUAAUACCUCUGUCGUGAUCAGAGAAGUGCAUUUUCUGCUGCUUUUGAUGUCAUAAUAUUGUAUUCUAAUUUUUUGGCUUGCAAUUGUUGAAACAACUGAAUCUUUAGUCUGAAAAUGUUGUCUUUCUAUUGUUAAUAUUUAUUUUUCAAGUAAUUGCAGCCUUUUCUGAUAUUGUUUCUUCUUACUGGAAAAGUUUGGCCCUGUAAGAAUGCUUUCAUAGCCUCCCAAACUAUACCCGAAGAAGCUGAAUUCCUGUUUGUAAUCAUAAAGUUGUCUAUGUUAUUAUUUAUGAAGUUCAACGCUUCAGGACUGUUUAAUAAAUGGUUGCUAAAUCGCCAAAGCUAAUAAUUCGGCAAAUCCAGAGAAUAUUGCACUGAUAUCAAUAAAGGGGCAUGAGCUGACAAUAUUCUUGGUAAAUAGUCACAAUUCAAUCUAAAAAUUCUUCUUUAGUACUUAAGAUAAUCUUAGGAACAUGUACUCAACUGUGCUAUUUUGAGACACCAUGAAAUAUGAACUAAAAUGUACUUUUAAUAUACUAUCUCUGUAUUUAAAAAAUGUAUUUAGUUACCACUUAUAGUACACUUGAACCCAUAGUAUGCUACAAGUGGAAACUAAAUACAUUUAAGAAGUACUAAAGAAAAUUUUUAGUAGCCUAUAUUAAGUUCAAAAUUAGUGUGCGAAAAUAGAGCACUUCAAGUACAUUAUAGAAAUGUACUUUUUUUCCCACCUGGGUCCCUAAUCAAACACACCAUCUCAUCAGCUCAUAAGUAGAGACUUCACGACCUGAAAUGGUUGUCGGUUUAGAGAGACAUCCAAAAUGUGUACUAUUGGGGUACUCCAGGACUAGGGUUUGGAACCGCUGCUAUAUGUAACUGUAUAUAAAUUAAACUGCUUGUGUAUGGGUGUUUAAUUUAUAAUGUAUUUAUAAAAAGCAGCUGACAAAUUUCAUUGCAUGAACAUCUUUAGCAUGUGCUAUAACACACGUUUGCCGUGAUUGUUUGAUUUAAAUUGAUCACUGUCAUAUUAUUACAUCACUACAUAGUCUCCACUAACCCAUCUAAUGCUCUGUUAUUUAUUAAAUGCUCUGUGUCAAUGGGCUCAUAUUGGUUCUUUCACUUGAUGUAUUACUUUCUCAAGGAUGGUUCAUACUCUUGCAGACAAAUAACUACGGAGCUCAAUGGAAUGGAGAAUAACCAUUUUAAAAGGGAAGAAAAUCCGGUUGAUUGCCUUGCCAGUCCAAGCAAUGCAUCGGUAUAUGGAUGUCCGCAAGGAAAGAACAGUUCUUUAUUGGGAACCUUAAUGGAACUCUUCUCCCCAACCCCCCACCCCCUCCUCUCGAAGAAGACUGAAGAAUAAAUAAAAGGAAACAAAACACACAAACAACCUGGCCUUGCAAACACAGCUGAAAUCAUCAGUUACUUUACUUUCUCAGAUGAACUCAUAACUCUCAGUUUACAACUUAUUCAACAUUUCAGUCCAUGCACCCCAAUAUACAUUUACAAUGUAACUCAUUAACAUUUGAGUAAACCAUGGCAUACCAAGUCACAUUUUCAGUGUAUACAUUGUCUCAUUUUUACUCACUAAAUGACUUUAAACCUCAA